GAUGAACGCUGGCGGCGUGCCUAAUACAUGCAUGUCGAGCGAACAGACGAGGAGCUUGCUCCUCUGACGUUAGCGGCGGACGGGUGAGUAACACGUGGAUAACCUACCUAUAAGACUGGGAUAACUUCGGGAAGCCGGAGCUAAUACCGGAUAAUAUAUUGAACCGCAUGGUUCAAUAGUGAAAGACGGUUUUGCUGUCACUUAUAGAUGGAUCCGCGCCGCAUUAGCUAGUUGGUAAGGUAACGGCUUACCAAGGCAACGAUGCGUAGCCGACCUGAGAGGGUGAUCGGCCACACUGGAACUGAGACACGGUCCAGACUCCUACGGGAGGCAGCAGUAGGGAAUCUUCCGCAAUGGGCGAAAGCCUGACGGAGCAACGCCGCGUGAGUGAUGAAGGUCUUCGGAUCGUAAAACUCUGUUAUUAGGGAAGAACAAAUGUGUAAGUAACUAUGCACGUCUUGACGGUACCUAAUCAGAAAGCCACGGCUAACUACGUG
rnacentral:rRNA from 1 species